UCCGCCGCCGCGGACUCCGGCAGCUUUAUCGCCAGAGUCCCUGAACUCUCGCUUUCUUUUAAAAUCCCCUGCAUCGCAUCACCGGCGUGCCCCACCAUGUCAGACGCAGCCGUAGACACCAGCUCUGAAAUCACCACCAAGGACUUAAAGGAGAAGAAGGAAGUUGUGGAAGAGGCAGAAAAUGGAAGAGACGCCCCUGCUAACGGGAAUGCUGAGAAUGAGGAAAAUGGGGAGCGAGAGGCUGACAAUGAGGUAGACGAAGAAGAGGAAGAAGGUGGGGAGGAAGAGGAGGAGGAAGAAGAA